GCUGAAAGUUUUUAACAUCCGGCAGUUAAUAAUAAUAAAAUUAUGUAACGCGAAUUCCUACGGGAGUGCAAUAAUUCUGUUUAACGUUUUGUUCCAUCCGACUACGGCCGUAUACAAGUACACCGCUCGUGGUCUGCGAACACCGAUCAUACCAGCCGGUUACCGUAAUACGUUAACAUAACAUUGUUGUCGUGUUUAUCGUAAUCUGUC